UUUGCAUAUCAAUAAGCGGAGGAAAAGAAACCAACAGGGAUUGCCCUAGUAACGGCGAGUGAAGCGGCAACAGCUCAAAUUUGAAAGCUGGCCUUCGGGUCCGCAUUGUAAUUUGUAGAGGAUGCUUUGGGUGAAACGCCAGUCUAAGUUCCUUGGAACAGGACGUCAUAGAGGGUGAGAAUCCCGUAUGUGACUGGAAAUGUUAACCUAUGUAAAGCUCCUUCGACGAGUCGAGUUGUUUGGGAAUGCAGCUCUAAAUGGGAGGUAAAUUUCUUCUAAAGCUAAAUAUUGGCGAGAGACCGAUAGCGCACAAGUAGAGUGAUCGAAAGAUGAAAAGCACUUUGGAAAGAGAGUUAAAAAGCACGUGAAAUUGUUGAAAGGGAAGCGCUUGCAAUCAGACUUGUUUAAACUGUUCGGCCGGUCUUCUGACCGGUUUACUCAGUUUGGACAGGCCAGCAUCAGUUUCGGCGGCCGGAUAAAGGCUCUGGGAAUGUGGCCUUCACUUCGGUGAAGGUGUUAUAGCCCAGGGUGUAAUACGGCCAGCCGGGACUGAGGUCCGCGCUUCGGCUA
rnacentral:rRNA from 1 species